CGAGUGGCGGACGGGUGAGUAACGCGUAGGAAUCUACCCAGUAGCGGGGGAUAGCCCGGGGAAACCCGGAAUAAUACCGCAUACGCCCCACGGGGGAAAGAGGGCCUCUUCUUGAAAGCUCUCACUAUUGGAGGAGCCUGCGUUGGAUUAGCUAGUUGGUGGGGUAAAGGCCUACCAAGGCGACGAUCCAUAGCUGGUCUGAGAGGACGAUCAGCCACACUGGAACUGAGACACGGUCCAGACUCCUACGGGAGGCAGCAGUCAGGAAUAUUGUGCAAUGGGGGAAACCCUGACACAGCCAUGCCGCGUGUGUGAAGAAGGCCUUAGGGUUGUAAAGCACUUUCAGUAGGGAGGAACUAGCAAGGCUAAUACCCUUGUGAGAUGACGUUACCUACAGAAGAAGAUCCGGCUAACUCCGUGCCAGCAGCCGCGGUAAUACGGAGGGAUCGAACGUUAAUCGGAAUUACUGGGCGUAAAGCGCGCGUAGGUGGUUUGUUAAGUGGGAUGUGAAAGCCCCGGGCUCAACCUGGGAACUGCAUUCCAAACUGACAAACUAGAGUACGAUAGAGGGGGGUAGAAUUCAGAGUGUAGCGGUGAAAUGCGUAGAUAUUCUGAGGAAUACCGGUGGCGAAGGCGGCCCCCUGGAUUGAUACUGACACUGAGGUGCGAAAGCGUGGGGAGCAAACAGGAUUAGAG
rnacentral:rRNA from 1 species